CAAAAUCUUCAUCCAUCAUGGGUAUGUGUGUAUCAAUUGUGUGAAAAAAUUCUUCACAUUUAUAAGCAUCAAACUUCGAUGAGUAAAGAUUUUUAUAAAACGCGGCCACG
ensembl:miRNA dre-mir-2193 dre-mir-2193